GCUGGGAUAGCUCAGUUAGUAGAGCACCUCUUAAUCUCAGGGUUGUGGGUUUGAGCCCCACGCUGGGCA